GCACUGCUGAUGAGACUCAACCAGGUCGAAACAGUUGCUGUCCAGUGC
rnacentral:hammerhead_ribozyme from 1 species